rnacentral:rRNA from 1 species
GAGGAAUAUUGGACAAUGGGUGGAAGCCUGAUCCAGCCAUCCCGCGUGAAGGAUGACGGUCCUAUGGAUUGUAAACUUCUUUUGUACAGGGAUAAACCUGCCCUCGUGAGGGCAGCUGAAGGUACUGUACGAAUAAGCACCGGCUAACUCCGUGCCAGCAGCCGCGGUAAUACGGAGGGUGCGAGCGUUAUCCGGACUUAUUGGGUUUAAAGGGUCCGUAGGCGGGCCUGUAAGUCAGUGGUGAAAUCUCAUAGCUUAACUAUGAAACUGCCAUUGAUACUGCAGGACUUGAGUAAAUUUGAAGUGGCUGGAAUAAGUAGUGUAGCGGUGAAAUGCAUAGAUAUUAAUUAGAACACCGAUUGCGAAGGCAGGUCACUAAGAUUUAACUGACGCUGAUGGACGAAAGCGUGGGGAGCGA